CAGAGAAAACAUCUGAAGUGCUUCCUGGACACACCUGUUAGGAAGUUUCUGCAAGAACCCAGGCCCAGCCCCAGGAAGAGAACGGCAGCAGGAAAAGUUAGAGAGGAGAGGGAGCAGGAGGUGGAGAGCUCGGCCCCUCCUUCGCUGCUGCCCUCUGGGUGACGCUCAGCGGAGGCGCCACGUAGCAGCUGCGAGAGCCCCGAGACAACCUCUGCACUGUUUAUGGGAUCGCAUUAGGGGAGCAGCGGCCCUGCAUGACCCCACAGGUGAGCAGGACACCUCAUCAUAGGGUAGGCACGUGAGCAGACUCACCCUCACACAGCUGCCUUCAGGGCUGCCCAGGUCAGGUGCUCAGAACACAAAAGAAAGUGAGACAAAGUCGCCACCCUGGAGUUUACGAGCUGGCGUGGGAGACAGGCUGGCACUGAGGAUGACAGUGGAGAGAGAUCGGGCUGGGAAGAACCGGAGGCGCUGGGGAAGCCGGGUCAGCAGGGAGACCCCAGCAGAGUGGGAGCCGGAGGACGGCGGCGACUGCAGCCCGACUGUUUCAGGUGGCGUCCUCGUCACGAGAGGAGCUUGAGCGGGUCGUGGCCUUCCUGGCAACCUGCCUACAGAGAAAACGAUUGCUGGGUGCAGAUGUCUCGAACAUUUAUUGCAUUCCACGUUGUCAGUCAAUAAAACAGCUUUGCGAGCGUAAUACUGACAAAAUCAAGUUCAGGCGGUAAGCCCCAGGGCUUCCAAGAAAAGUGGAUCGGGGGGCUUGCUCAGCUCUGGUAUCUCCUCCUUCCCACCAGACAUGAGGAUUUUAACUUGAUCAUCUCUGCAAAGACCUUAUCUUCAAAUACAGUUACAUUCUGAAGUCCUGGGGGUUAGGGCUGCAACACCCGAAUUGGUGGAGACAAAAUCCAGCUCCUGACAAUACCGCGUAUGAUAGCUGCGUCUCUGCCUGCAGUACUGUUUUCCAGGGAAAGCAUCUUUGAGUGUAUUCAGAAAGCCUCUCUCUGGGGCCAGGCCUUGCAGAGAAUCCUUCAGAAACUGGACAACCCCACCCAAGGCAGUCAGUGGGGAGGACACAUUUGGUGCCUCAUUGGUCCCUGGAUCUGCCUCACAGUCCUCAAUGUUCCUCCUCGUUCCCUCUACUCUUUCUCCUCUUUGGUUGACCUUGAAGCUCAUUCCUGGUGAAGGCCCCGUGGGAGCAGUGCAAUGACAAGAGGAGCCUGUUUUCAAUAGCACCCUCACGCUCUCCAGGGGUCCAUUGGAGGCGCCUAUGACCUCCUGAUGCUGAGGAGCCUAGAGUGGGCAGCCCUCGGGCCCAGGCUCCACCUGGGUGAGGCCUGUUUUAUUAUCAAUACUCACCACAGUCAUUUGUGGGAGUGUAAUGCUCAUAUUCCCAUUUAAGAGAUGAAUAAACUGAGGCAAGGUGAAGUGACUCAGCUGAGGCCACACCACAGUUUAAUGGGGAAGCCAGGAUAAGAGCUGGCGGCUUCUAUGUCUGAUCUACACUCUGAUGGGAGGUCGUCAGAGAGCCAUGUAAACGGUGAGGAGGUGACAUGCUGGUCCCUUCCAUAAAAGCUGUUUUGCAAAAUUAAAACACACACACAGUAAAGAUCCAGAUUUAUGCAAGUGAGAGUGAGGGGCUGACUAUUUACCAGUCAACAGAUCUCCCCAAAUGGUUCUCUGCUUGGGGUUGAGAUGCUCCUGACCAGCAGGGCUUGGGGAGAGACAUUCUUGCUCCCCCUAGAGCUGGCUGACCCAUACCCAGGGGAUUCUGAGCACCAGGGGCUGGGAGCAGCAUGUACCACGUGUUUCCCAAGA
rnacentral:lncRNA from 10 species